UCCUGGCUCAGGAUGAACGCUGGCGGCAUGCCUAAUACAUGCAAAGUCGAACGAGAGACCUUCGGGUCUCUAGUGGCGAACGGGUGAGUAACACGUAGGGAACCUGCCCGCGCACCGGGAAUACGCUCUGGAAACGGAGAACAAAUCCCGAUGUACAGGAAGGAGGCAUCUUCUUUCUGUGAAACAUCCUUUCGGGGAUGGGGCGCGGAUGGACCUGCGGUGCAUUAGUUUGUGGCGGGUAAAGGCCCACCAAGACGAUGAUGCAUAGCCGGCCUGAGAGGGCGGACGGCCACAUUGGGACUGAGACACGGCCCAGACUCCUGCGGAGCAGCAGUAGGGAAUUUUCGUCAAUGGGCGCAAGCCUGAACGAGCGAUGCCGCGUGAGUGAAGAAGGCCUUCGGGUCGUAAAGCUCUGUUGCGGGGGAAAAAAGGCAGGCAUCAGGAAAUGGGUGCUGACUGAUGGGUGCCCCGCCAGAAAGUCACGGGCUAACUACGUGCC
rnacentral:rRNA from 1 species